rnacentral:sRNA from 1 species
UUUUAGCCCCGAUUGCAGUGAAAAUCCUUUUCCUUUUUUAAGGAAAAGAUUGAAACGGAAAGCGGGACGAUUG